GGCUACUAAGCACUGAUCUUGACACAGGAAAACCUAGUUAAACAUUAAGACUUUAGAGGUAUGAAUAUAUCAGAUAUAACCAUCUACAAGGAGAGCUAGCAAAAGGCCAAAUUAUAUUAAUCAAAAGGCCGUAUAAAGGCUAUUUUCGAUAGACCCUUGACUCAAGAUAUUUUUUACAUAGUUUGAAAGAAAUGCAACAUGUUUUUUAUUAUAUCAGGUAAACAAUUAUAUUAAUCAAAAGGUGCAAAAGCGAUUGUAUACAAGAAGGAUACCAAAAAGUAAAGAACCUACAAAUGAUAUGUUCUCCACAAAACACACUCAAUCCUCUAUACAUUCUGGAACUGCAUGGGUGUGACUAAAAGAAAUGAGGGAUCGUAAAAAAGUUCAAAAACAACUAAACAGAUAUGUCGUGGAUCUUUGUUACAUUGACCUAGUCAGGGAAAAAACCAUAAAAUUUGAAAUCAUUGUUUGCUGUUUAGUCUAAUUGAAAAGGAUUUAAGUUAAAGCAAAUAGAUCGAAUAUGUUUCAACCAUAGAGCAUAGUUGGUCGUAAACAACCUUCAUUUUUAUUAAGACAACUUUUAUUGGCAGGAAAUUCAACCAAGUAUGAAAAACCUGCUAAGAGUCUUCGAAAUUAGUGCAUUGCAAAAACCAUAACAAGGUACAGAAGAAGCUUUAAAUUUUCUAAUAGCAAAGAUGAUAUGUUUUUUUGAUAGAUGCAAUCAAAAUAACAAAUGGUUUAAAAACAAAACCACCAAGUUUUGCACAUUUGUUAAGUCCAUAAGCAACACCUUAAAAUGACAGUACGAUUUUUUGAAAAAGGUGACACCUUUGACAUAAACAAACUCAGCUUCAAAAAAAAGGUUCACCUUCAUGAAAUCCAAGGAGCAACUUCACCUUCAUGAAAUCCCGAGGAGCAACACCAGGUAGAUAAAAACAUUCAGCUCCUUCAAAGUUAAACAAACACAAUAUCAACCCUACAACCACCAUAGAGAUCUGCCGGUGAAUAAACUGACACCGACUUUCGAACUCCAUACCACCGCCAGAUCUAGAUCGAUCUAGAUCUAUACUCAUUCACUCACACACAUAGUAUAAUAUAAAGCAAAGAGUGAUAGAGUACAAUCUCCGCUUCUGUCAUAAUAUCAACACCACAACCACCACCG
rnacentral:lncRNA from 1 species